rnacentral:tRNA from 1 species
GCCGAAGUGGCGGAAUUGGCAGACGCGCUGCGUUCAGGUCGCAGUGGACAUUACGUCCAUGUGGGUUCAACUCCCUCCUUCGGCA